rnacentral:rRNA from 1 species
UGCAGUCGAGCGAAUCUGAUGGGAGCUUGCUCCCUGAAGAUUAGCGGCGGACGGGUGAGUAACACGUGGGUAACCUGCCUGUAAGACUGGGAUAACUCCGGGAAACCGGGGCUAAUACCGGAUAACUUUUUCUUCCGCAUGGAGGAGAAAUAAAAGAUGGCUCCGGCUAUCACUUACAGAUGGACCCGCGGCGCAUUAGCUAGUUGGUGAGGUAACGGCUCACCAAGGCGACGAUGCGUAGCCGACUUGAGAGGGUGAUCGGCCACACUGGGACUGAGACACGGCCCAGACUCCUACGGGAGGCAGCAGUAGGGAAUCUUCCGCAAUGGACGAAAGUCUGACGGAGCAACGCCGCGUGAGUGAUGAAGGUUUUCGGAUCGUAAAACUCUGUUGUUAGGGAAGAACAAGUAUCGUUCAAAUAGGGCGGUACCUUGACGGUACCUAACCAGAAAGCCACGGCUAACUACGUGCCAGCAGCCGCGGUAAUACGUAGGUGGCAAGCGUUGUCCGGAAUUAUUGGGCGUAAAGCGCGCGCAGGCGGUUUCUUAAGUCUGAUGUGAAAGCCCACGGCUCAACCGUGGAGGGUCAUUGGAAACUGGGAGACUUGAGUGCAGAAGAGAAGAGCGGAAUUCCACGUGUAGCGGUGAAAUGCGUAGAGAUGUGGAGGAACACCAGUGGCGAAGGCGGCUCUUUGGUCUGUAACUGACGCUGAGGCGCGAAAGCGUGGGGAGCGAACAGGAUUAGAUACCCUGGUAGUCCACGCCGUAAACGAUGAGUGCUAAGUGUUAGAGGGUUUCCGCCCUUUAGUGCUGCAGCUAACGCAUUAAGCACUCCGCCUGGGGAGUACGG